rnacentral:tRNA from 1 species
UCGGGAUAGCUCAGUUGGUAGAGCAGAGGACUGAAAAUCCUCGUGUCACCAAGUAUCAA